CGACCGCUCCGAGGUGGCUCGCCGGCCCUUUCCGAGGGCCGGCGGCGAGGGCUCGGCGCCCUCGCGCUCCCCCA
rnacentral:tRNA from 1 species